rnacentral:tRNA from 1 species
GCCCCUGUAGCUUAACGGUUAAAGCCUUCGCCUUGUAAGCGAAAGACCGACGGUUCAACUCCAGUCCAGGGGCUCCA